GGGCCUAUAGUCUAGUAGUACGACGCGUCAUUCGCAUUGACGAGGCGGGGGUGCGAUUCCCCCUAGGUCCA
rnacentral:tRNA from 3 species